AGUGAACGCUGGCGGUAGGCCUAACACAUGCCAGUCGAACGGCAGCACAGUAAGAGCUUGCUCUUACGGGUGGCGAGUGGCGGACGGGUGAGGAAUACAUCGGAAUCUACUUUUUCGUGGGGGAUAACGUAGGGAAACUUACGCUAAUACCGCAUACGACCUACGGGUGAAAGCAGGGGAUCUUCGGACCUUGCGCGAUUGAAUGAGCCGAUGUCGGAUUAGCUAGUUGGCGGGGUAAAGGCCCACCAAGGCGACGAUCCGUAGCUGGUCUGAGAGGAUGAUCAGCCACAUUGGAACUGAGACACGGUCCAGACUCCUACGGGAGGCAGCAGUGGGGAAUAUUGGACAAUGGGCGCAAGCCUGAUCCAGCCAUACCGCGUGGGUGAAGAAGGCCUUCGGGUCGUAAAGCCCUUUUGUUGGGAAAGAAAAGCAGCAGGUUAAUACCCCGCUGUUCUGACGGUACCCAAAGAAUAAGCACCGGCUAACUUCGUG
rnacentral:rRNA from 1 species